rnacentral:rRNA from 1 species
GACGAACGCUGGCGGCGUGCCUAAUACAUGCAAGUCGAGCGAAGUUUUUCUGGUGCUUGCACUAGAAAAGCUUAGCGGCGAACGGGUGAGUAACACGUAAAGAACCUGCCUCAUAGACUGGGACAACUAUUGGAAACGAUAGCUAAUACCGGAUAACAGUAUUUCUCGCAUGAGAGAUAUUUAAAAGUUGGUUAUGCUAACACUAUGAGAUGGCUUUGCGGUGCAUUAGCUAGUUGGUGGGGUAAAGGCCUACCAAGGCGACGAUGCAUAGCCGACCUGAGAGGGUGAUCGGCCACACUGGGACUGAGACACGGCCCAGACUCCUACGGGAGGCAGCAGUAGGGAAUCUUCCGCAAUGGGCGAAAGCCUGACGGAGCAACGCCGCGUGAGUGAAGAAGGAUUUCGGUUCGUAAAGCUCUGUUGUUAGGGAAGAAUGGAUAUGUAGUAACUAUACAUGUAAGAGACGGUACCUAACCAGAAAGCCACGGCUAACUACGUGCCAGCAGCCGCGGUAAUACGUAGGUGGCAAGCGUUGUCCGGAAUUAUUGGGCGUAAAGCGCGCGCAGGUGGUUUAAUAAGUCUGAUGUGAAAGCCCACGGCUCAACCGUGGAGGGUCAUUGGAAACUGUUAAACUUGAGUGCAGGAGAGAAAAGUGGAAUUCCUAGUGUAGCGGUGAAAUGCGUAGAGAUUAGGAGGAACACCAGUGGCGAAGGCGGCUUUUUGGCCUGUAACUGACACUGAGGCGCGAAAGCGUGGGGAGCAAACAGG